rnacentral:rRNA from 1 species
UACGAAGGGGGCUAGCGUUGCUCGGAAUCACUGGGCGUAAAGGGUGCGUAGGCGGGUCUUUAAGUCAGGGGUGAAAUCCUGGAGCUCAACUCCAGAACUGCCUUUGAUACUGAGGAUCUUGAGUCCGGGAGAGGUGAGUGGAACUGCGAGUGUAGAGGUGAAAUUCGUAGAUAUUCGCAAGAACACCAGUGGCGAAGGCGGCUCACUGGCCCGGUACUGACGCUGAGGCACGAAAGCUAGGGGAGCGAACAGG